rnacentral:ncRNA from 1 species
CCUAGCGCCCUAUUUUCAUUUCAAAAGAAAAAAAAGCAUUGUAGGUUUCCUGGAAUCUCAGGAUUGCUUAAACUCCGACUAACAGAUGAUGCAACAACCUAAAUUCCCCUUGAGCGUGGCUACAGUCCCUAGAAAGUGCUAGGCCUGUACGAGUGGUGAAACAUUUGGUUGGGUUGCACUUUGGAGUCGGGUUGCCUGAGAUCGCAACCGAAAUUGGGUGAUAAACCUCAUCUGAGGCUAAUUUCGGCCAGGAGAUUGAUAGCAAACAAGUAUCGUGAGGAGAGGUUGCAAAGAACUUUGAAAAGAGAGAGUUCAAGAGGGCAAGUGAAACCGCUGAGAUGGAAACGGAUAGCGUUGACAAAACUUAUCGGUGUUCGACCGAGUAAUUCAGCCGGUCUUACUGUUCUGUAACUGUGAUGGUAAAACACAUGGAGAGCAUUGCGAUGAACUUACUGUUGGGCUGAAUUGUUCUAUUUGUCGGCAGUAUGCACCGAAAAUUUCGUUGCUGCAAAAUUAAGACAUUUGUGGACGGUCAUAAUAUCUUUAUAUGUUAAAAGAAUCGUCAAUUCGGGUAAGGGAAUCCCCUUAUAUGGAUAUAUAGAACUCCCCACGCUGUCCGUAGUUUCGCAUUU